GACUCUGUGGCAAAAUGGAUAGCACACUGGAUUUCUAGCGUAGUGAAGUGAUUCAAAGGUUGUGAGUUCGAGUCCUAUCAGGGUCA